rnacentral:rRNA from 1 species
GCUUACGACCAAGUCACCCUAAAUGCACCCGAUAUCGUCGGAUCUCGGAAGUAUACUGAGGUUGAGCCUGGUUAUUACUUGGAUGGUUGGGUAACCACCAAUGCAUAACAGGUAUUGUAGGAA